GUAGCAAUACUUUCUUAGUGGCGAACGGGUGAGUAACGCGUUGGUGAUCUGCCCCAAAGUGAGGGAUAACAGUUCGAAAGGACUGCUAAUACCCCAUGUGGUCAUCGGGAUUAGAAUCUGGUGACUAAAGACGAAAGUCGCUUUGGGAGGAGCCUGCGUCCCAUCAGCUAGUUGGUAAGGUAAUGGCUUACCAAGGCGAUGACGGGUAGGGGACCUGAGAGGGUGACCCCCCACACUGGCACUGAAACACGGGCCAGACACCUACGGGUGGCAGCAGUAGGGAAUAUUGGUUAAUGGGCGAAAGCCCGAACCAGCAACGCCGCGUGCGCGAUGAAGGCCUUCGGGUUGUAAAGCGCUUUUAGCGGGGAUGAGGAAGGACAGUACCCACUGAAUAAGUCUCGGCUAACUACGUGCCAGCAGCCGCGGUAACACGUAGGAGACAAGCGUUAUCCGGAUUUACUGGGCGUAAAGCGCGUGCAGGCGGUUCGGUAAGUUGGAUGUGAAAGCUCCUGGCUUAACUGGGAGAGGUCGUUCAAUACUACCGGACUUGAGGAUGAGAGAGGGAGGUGGAAUUCCGGGUGUAGUGGUGAAAUGCGUAGAUAUCCGGAGGAACACCAGUGGCGAAAGCGGCCUCCUGGCCCAUAUCUGACGCUCAUACGCGAAAGCUAGGGGAGCAAACGGGAUUAGAGACCCCGGUAGUCCUAGCUGUAAACGAUGUA
rnacentral:rRNA from 1 species